rnacentral:tRNA from 1 species
GCGUCGUUAGUCCAGCCAGGUCUAAGACACUGCGUUGCCAUCGCGGAAACGCCGGUUCGAAUCCGGCACGACGCA